ensembl:lncRNA
CUCCUAUAUCACGCCAGGCGAUACUAUAUCAUGCCAGGUGCUCCUAUAUCACGCCAGGCGCUCCUAUAUCACGCCAGGCGCUCCUAUGUCACGCCAGGCGGCGCUGUGUCACGUCAGGCGGCGCUGUGUCACGUCAGGCGGCGCUGUGUCACGCCAGGCUGCGCUGUGUCACGCCAGGUGCUCCUAUAUCAUGCCAGGCGAUACUAUAUCACGCCAGGUGCUCCUAUAUCAUGCCACAGGCGCUCCUAUAUCACGCUAGGCGCUCCUAUAUCACGCCAGGCGGCGCUCCUAUAUCACGCCAGGCGGCGCUCCUAUAUCACACCAGGCGGCGCUCCUAUAUCACACCAGGCGCUACUAUAUCACGCCAGGCGGCG